rnacentral:lncRNA from 1 species
GUACUACACAGAGUACAAAAGACAAUUGAUUUUGUACUUCAAUCAUCCUAGGAGUAUCCUUAUGCUAAAGGGAAGAAAUUAUCACUAACAUGGUGUCUCCAUUAGUUGGAGGCGCAAGUUAUUCCUAAGUUUAAAUAUCAAUUCAAAACUAUAAAAGAUACUUUGAACAAGAAAAAGAAAGAAACAGUAAACCAGUGAAAAGUGAAUUACCAACCUGACCAGCAAAUGAGAAUAUCAAGAUUACCCUUGACCUCCUUGGGGAGUUGGCAGUUG